AUGCUGCCGGCUGGCGUCAAGUUCGAUCCCACGGAUCAGGAGCUGAUCGAGCACCUUGAGGCCAAAGUGAGUGCUGACAGCGCGAGAUUUCAGUCUCUCAUCGAUUUGUUCAUACCAACCAUCGACAGCGAGCACGGCAUAUGCUACACCCAACCUGAGAAACUUCCAGCGCAAUUCCAGGGCGUUCAAAAGGGGCACGUGGACACGUCGCAAGAUACAGUCGGAGUGCGGCAUGCACGCGAUGUGGCACAAGACCGGCAAUACCUUGCCGGUGAUGGUCAACGGCCGGCAAGACGGGCAGCAAAAAAGGUUCUGGUGCUGCACACCAACAAGAACUUCGACCAGCAGAGGACCAACUGGGUGAUGCACCAGUACCACCUCGGGGACCUGGAGCAAGAGAAGGAGCGGGAGCUGUUGUACUACCUUGUCGUCCGCAAGUUGGCCCAAGCCAUGACGACAACGGGGCACAAAGAUCCAGCAGGUAUCUACUGGCCUAUGGCCCGCCAGCGUUAG
rnacentral:rRNA from 1 species